rnacentral:rRNA from 1 species
UACAGAGGGUGCGAGCGUUAAUCGGAAUUACUGGGCGUAAAGCGCACGUAGUCGGCUUUGCAAGUCGGGUGUGAAAUCCCCGGGCUCAACCUGGGAACUGCAUCCGAGACUGCAUUGCUAGAGUAUGGGAGAGGGAAGCGGAAUUUCUGGUGUAGCAGUGAAAUGCGUAGAUAUCAGAAGGAACAUCAGUGGCGAAGGCGGCUUCCUGGACCAAUACUGACGCUGAGGCGCGAAAGCUAGGGGAGCAAACAGG